UGUGAGAGCUGGCUUGCCUGCGAUGGCGGUGGGUCAGAUGUACCGCUAUCGCAGGCAAGCCAGCUCCCACA
rnacentral:misc_RNA from 1 species